CUUCACCGACCCCAACCACAACGGCCGACCAGGGCGAUCCUGCCCAUAGGUCGCGAGGAGCGCCUGCGCCUC
rnacentral:antisense_RNA from 1 species